rnacentral:rRNA from 1 species
UGGGGAAUAUUGGACAAUGGGCGCAAGCCUGAUCCAGCCAUGCCGCGUGAGUGACGAAGGUCUUCGGAUUGUAAAACUCUUUUGGCGGGGACGAUAAUGACGGUACCCGCAGAAUAAGCCCCGGCUAACUUCGUGUCAGCAGCCGCGGUAAUACGAAGGGGGCUAGCGUUGUUCGGAAUCACUGGGCGUAAAGCGCACGUAGGCGGAUGUGCCAGUCAGGGGUGAAAUCCCGGAGCUCAACUCCGGAACUGCCUCUGAUACUGCACGUCUUGAGUUCGAGAGAGGUGGGUGGAAUUCCUAGUGUAGAGGUGAAAUUCGUAGAUAUUAGGAAGAACACCGGUGGCGAAGGCGGCCCACUGGCUCGAUACUGACGCUGAGGUGCGAAAGCGUGGGGAGCAAACAGGAUUAGAUACCCCAGUAGCCCUGAGCGGGCUGGCAAGGCGCAU